UAGUUGCCUGCCCCUUCAGUCCUCUG
rnacentral:piRNA from 1 species